rnacentral:rRNA from 1 species
UACGGGGGGAGCAAGCGUUGUUCGGAUUUACUGGGCGUAAAGGGCGCGUAGGCGGCCAGCACAAGUCAGUUGUGAAAUCUCCGGGCUUAACUCGGAAAGGUCAACUGAUACUGUGCGGCUAGAGUGCGGAAGGGGCAACUGGAAUUCUCGGUGUAGCGGUGAAAUGCGUAGAUAUCGAGAGGAACACCUGCGGCGAAGGCGGCGAUCUGGACGAUGACUGACGCUGGAGACGCGAAAGCGUGGGGAGCAAACAGG